rnacentral:rRNA from 1 species
CCUACGGGAGGCAGCAGUGAGGAAUAUUGGUCAAUGGGCGAGAGCCUGAACCAGCCAAGUCGCGUGAAGGAAGAAGGAUCUAUGGUUUGUAAACUUCUUUUAUAUGGGAAUAAAGUUAUCAACGUGUUCAUAUUUGCAUGUACCCUAUGAAUAAGCAUCGGCUAACUCCGUGCCAGCAGCCGCGGUAAUACGGAGGGUUCAAGCGUUAUCCGGAUUUACUGGGUUUAAAGGGUGCGCAGACGGUCGGAUAAGUCAGAAGUGAAAUCCCGGGGCUCAACUCCGGAACUGCUGCUGAUACUGCGUGGCUGGAGUGUAGGAGCGGGAGGCGGAAUGCAUGGUGUAGCGGUGAAAUGCGUAGAGAUCAGGAGGAACACCGGUUGCGAAGGCGGCCUGCUGGAC